rnacentral:rRNA from 1 species
AUUGAACGCUGGCGGCAGGCCUAACACAUGCAAGUCGAGCGGAUGAAUGGAGCUUGCUCCUGGAUUCAGCGGCGGACGGGUGAGUAAUGCCUAGGAAUCUGCCUGGUAUUGGGGGAUAACGUCCGGAAACGGGCGCUAAUACCGCAUACGUCCUUAGGGAGAAAGUGGUGGAUCUUCGGACCUCACGCUAUCAGAUGAGCCUAGGUCGGAUUAGCUAGUUGGUGGGGUAAAGGCCUACCGAGGCGACGAUCCGUAACUGGUCUGAGAGGAUGAUCAGUCACACUGGAACUGAGACACGGUCCAGACUCCUACGGGAGGCAGCAGUGGGGAAUAUUGGACAAUGGGCGAAAGCCUGAUCCAGCCAUGCCGCGUGUGUGAAGAAGGUCUUCGGAUUGUAAAGCACUUUAAGUUGGGAGGAAGGGCAGUAAGUUAAUACCUUGCUGUUUUGACGUUACCAACAGAAUAAGCACCGGCUAACUUCGUG